UACGGAGGGUGCAAGCGUUGCUCGGAAUUAUUGGGCGUAAAGGGUAGGUAGGUGGUCUCGUUUGUCUGGGGUGAAAGCCUUGAGCUUAACUCAAGAAGUGCCCCAGAAACGGCGAGACUAGAGUCUUGGAGAGGGUCGUGGAAUUCCCGGUGUAGUGGUGGAAUGCGUAGAGAUCGGGAGGAAUACCAGUGGCGAAAGCGGCACCCUGGCGUCGUACUGACGCACAUGUGCGAAAGCGUGGGGAGCGAACAG
rnacentral:rRNA from 1 species